rnacentral:tRNA from 1 species
CGCGCUGGGGCGUCGCGGCGGAACGCCGUUCGCUCGAAUCGGUUGCCGCGCCGCUGUCGUUGCACUCGACCCGGCGCGAC